UCUCCGUAGGUGAACCUGCGGAGGGAUCAUUACAGAGUUCAUGCCCUUCCGGGUAGAUCUCGCACCCUGUGUUAUCGUCACCUUUGUUGCUUUGGCGGGCCGCCCAGCCCUUGGCCCGGCUACCGGCUCCGGCUGGUACGCGCCCGUCAGAGAACCCUAAACUCUUGAAUUUCACUGUCGUCUGAGUGCUAUGUAAUAGUUAAAACUUUCAACAACGGAUCUCUUGGUUCUG
rnacentral:misc_RNA from 1 species